UACGUAGGGGGCAAGCGUUGUCCGGAUUUAUUGGGCGUAAAGAGCGUGUAGGCGGCCAUACAGGUCCGUUGUGAAAACUGGAGGCUUAACCUCCAGACGUCGAUGGAAACCGUAUGGCUAGAGUCCGGAAGAGGAGAGUGGAAUUCCUGGUGUAGCGGUGAAAUGCGUAGAGAUCAGGAAGAACACCGGUGGCGAAAGCGUUCUGCUAGACCUGUACUGACACUGAGGGACGAAAGCUAGGGGAGCGAAUGGG
rnacentral:rRNA from 1 species